UGUGCCAGCAACCUGGUAUGGGAGGAAUCCGACGAAGUAAAAGCGGCACCUGUCUCUCGGUGCAAACUCUUCUCUACCAAGUAAUUACAGGUUUGCAAAUAACCAAGGGUGUGGAAAUCCACAGAGGAAGCACAGUUCUUCACAAGAAUUCUCCAUGAGGUGCAUUUCUUUUUAGAUUAGAAUUUUAGCUUCAUCAAAACGAAGAAUCUGGGAAAGAGGUGGCCACAAAAGGUCGAGGAGCCUUCAGAAAGAACCCGUCCUUGCUGCCUUGAGUGGACACGGCAGAGUGGACCUGAUUUCUGCCGCGGCCGUGGCAGCAAAGCCCCGAGCAGGGAAGGGCCCUAGAGUGGGGGCGGGGGCGCCCCCGAACCAAGACGCCGGCCGCGUGGGUGUGAGUUGGGGGCUUGUCGGGAGGUCUGACUGACCAGGGCUAGAUCUGUGGAGGGAAGGGGCAGGACAGACACGGAGAGGAAGGCUCCGCACCCAGGCCCACAUUCACACCCGCGACCCUUACCUGGCACCGAGGCACCAUCCCCGCUAGGGACCUCUGGACCUAAUCGCAACCGCAGAGGCGCAGGCGCAACCGGAGGGAGUUCGGCCAGCUCUUGCGCCUGCACGGAGCAUGCGCACAACUAGCUCCGCCCACGCCCAGCUGAGGCUGUUUCCUCAGGGCAGACUGUUACAAGCCUGGAUUAAUUUUCCUUCGCAGAUGGGUGGUGGUGGUGAGAGCGAGCAAUCAGUAUGGAAAGGGCUGACCAUGCAUGUCCUUAUCCCCAGGAGGGAGGUCGUGAUACAGAGAGACAUGAGACAUCAAUCAAUAUGUAAGAAGUACAUCAGUUCCUUCCAGAAAGGCGGAGACAGCUCAGAGCAAGCCCUCCCCCCGCCACACCACUGGGGGCUUCCAGGUCACAGGUAGGUGAUAGACAGAUGGUAGCAUUCUUUUGAGUUCCUGAUAAGUCUUUCCAAAGGAGGCAAUCAGAAUAUGCAUCUAUCUCUGUGAGCCAAAGGGAUCACUUGAAUAGGAGGCAGAUUUGCCCUGAGCAGUUCCCAGUUUGAAGGGGCCCAAGAUAUUUUUCUUUCACAGGUAUAGGAUUAGUGUUUCUUAAAGACUUAAAAUAUCCGCCUGAUCAGAACAUUUGAACAGUAUCACUUUUCCUGUUUACUGGCUGCUCCGCGAUUGUCUGCAUACUAUCCAUCCAAAUUUCCCAAUUUCUUGCCUAAAAGAACUUUUGGCUUUAAAUUGCCUGCGUCCUUACAUGGAUGUAAGUUACCUUUCCCUUUUCUUGGAGCUCACAGUCCUGAGUAGGAGAGUUUUAAAUAUUCCCUUAAUGCUAAGGAUGUAUGUUACAUUUCAAGGGUGGAAGGGGUAAAGUUGUGUUACUUGGGGAAUGUGAUCUAGUAAGUCUCACUGAGAAGAUGCUGGAGCUAAAUCUGCUAGAAUAGUGACAGUAAAUGACAAGAGCGGGAGUAGGGUAUGAGGAAAUUUCGCUUGCCUCUUAACAAGCUGCAGGGAUAUGAAGAACCAUAAUAAGUUCAUGGAAGGCAGUUGGCAAGGCAGGUGUGCCUCCAGCAAAGAAGGAGGUGAUGAGAAGUGAAGCUGGAGAGUCCUUGGUAGGAAGAAUUGACAAGGAGUGAUCAAUACCAAUGCAUAUCCUGGUAAAGUUGCUGCACAUCAAGGAUAAAGAAUUAUAUUCACAUCCAGACAUAAAAACAAGGGAAUGAUGAUAGUGGCCUUAGACUCCUCAGUGGCAUCCAAUGCCAGUGGGUGGCAAUGUGCAGUAUCUAAAAAAGGCUGAGAACAAAAGCUUGACCCCAUAAUAUUACAUACAGCCAAGCUGGUAGAGCAUGAUACUCCUAUACCAGCAAAAACUCAAAAAAUACAAUGCUUAGGUACACUUCUUAAAAACUCUUUUUGGAUAAAAAGUCCACUCAACCGAGAGUAAUCAAAGUAAAUAACUCAGCAAUAAAGAUGUUAAUGGGAAAAAUGAAAAACUAAAAAAACUGGCAUUGAGAUUUUAAUCCAUUGAAACAUUAAACUAUUAUAGAAUAAAAUGUAAAUGACAUCAGAAUAUUUUAAAAAAUGGAAACUGUCCAAAGUGGGAACAUGUAGUUACAAAAUAUUAAUUCAGGUUUCUUAAUAUUUUUCAUAAUAUUAUUUAUUUUAGAAAAUAUUUUAGGAGUAACUGUCUCUUACGAAUAAACAAUAUUCUGAUAAUUUGUAAUUCUAUCAGUUUUACCAGUUAUUUUGUUGAUAAAUUCAAGUAAACAUAUGUCAGUAAUAUUGCCUUGCUUUCAUUUUUUAUUUUCUAAUUCCUUAUGAGGUGAAUCUUUUAAUAUUUUCAGUGGCCACUUAUAAUUCUCUGUGAGGUUUCUGUUCACAUCAUUUAUUCAUUACACUGUAGAUAUGACACAGUUCUUUUUUACAAAAUACAGCCCCAGCUAUAAUUUAUGAAUAUGCAAGAAAAGCUGAUACCAAAAAUUUCCAGGCUUAUUUCAUAGGCUUUGAGUUUACUUUUCUUAUGAAUUCAUUAAUUAAAUCAGUAAAUCAUCAUGAUGGAAUAUAAAUUAUUUUGGUAAUAAAAUGACUAUGAACGUUUGCAUUUCACUUAAGCUACAAUAUUUUGUGAAAACAUUGUUGGACCCACCAUUUUCCCAAUUAUUUUUACCAUAAGGAAUCCUAUUUGGUUAAGAAAAGAGUAAGUUGAGAAAAAACAUUUCCAUUUUGUUUUCAAAUUGAAAAAAGAUGAGAUUCCAUGAGACUAGAAAUGUAGGAGUGUCUCUUAUUUUCACAGAAGGCUCUGUUAAAAGAUCAGAAACAUAAUUUUACUUGUAGUAGCAAAUUAUCAAAAAUGCUCACUGUCUUUUCUAAAAAACAAUUUUUCCCAGAAACACCUGGCAGAAUCAGAGUUCAUUGUGUCAAAAGAAAAACUUUAGACAAAUUAAAAUGAGCAAAGAACAAUUCCUGAAUGGUUCCCCUCCUUCAGCCGGAACAGGUUCAGAGACUCCAGUGAUGGCCACGUAAUCAAAGAAUUAUGGACAAAAAAAAGCAAAUACAUUAUAGGAAAAGAACGUGAGGUACAGAAACAGCUGGACUGGUUACAGCUUGGUGUUUACCUUACUUGAACAAGGUUUGAACAGUUGCCUACCUUUGAUUGGCUGCAACACAGUGAUUGGUGUAAGAGGAGAUUACAGCCUGUUUACACAUCUGGUUAGGUUACAGUUCACUGUGUGUUGAGAAACCUUUAGGCCAAACUUAAAAUUUGUAAGGAGGCAGCUUUAAAGGCUAAAUUUACUUUAAGAGUUAUUAGAUGUUCUGUCAAUUGUUUCACCAAUAGUUAACAGAUUUUUUUUUGUUUUUGUUUUCUACGCUAUUAAAAUAGUAUAUAGAUACUUGCCACCAUUGAUUCUGUUUUAUCAUGUUACAUUUUAGUCUUUAAUUGAAUUGAACCUAUUUUUUCCCCAAAAUUCAACCUAUUCAUCCAUUUACACAGAUUUUUUUAAUCUAAAUAUUUUCUAUCAAAUUGCUAAACAUUUUUAGCCACAUUCUGUUUUCAUUGCUGCCCAUAUAUUUUCUGCCAUCAUUUUCAGCUACUAAAUAGUAUCUAGUCCUAGAUAUCUGGCAGCCCAUUAUCAGGAACUUUUCAUGGAAUGCUUCACUGACCUUGUUUAAGUCAGUAAUAAAGUUGAAGUUUAUAAUCAUAUUCUAUGACCAAAAAAAGUACAGGUAGUAGAUUUUCAAAUCUCAGCCCAUGUCUACUCCUUUAUUUCCCACUGUGGCAGAACUUUUGAACAAUGAAAAUCCUUCUGUCUGAGGAAGUUUGGACUAUGUGAUGUGAGAUUCAUAGACAUUGACUAGUGUAAUUAGCAUAUUUUAAUAGUAUUUACAUUUUUUAUUAAAAAUAGAUGAUGUAGUAGUUACUUUUUGAAGGACUAGCAAAGCAGGAUAUUUCCCUAACCCUUUUGUGGGACCCAUAACAGGGGUGCCUCAUUUUCUCAACCUGCUGCUCACAACUCUUCACCGGAGGGAGCACACGAGCAAACAAGGGCGAGGACUGGCAUGCACCAGCUCUGGAACCACCCGGCUGGUUCAGUGCUGGUGGGAUCAAAUUCAACUCACUCAGAACCACUGUGUUCCACCCCUCGUGGGAGGGAGCAUGCAAGUGAGUGGGUGCAGGAGUCAGGGUGAGCACUUUUGGGCUCCAGCAGGAGCAAACUCCAUGCAGGGCUCCGCAGCAGUGACGAGGGGGCUGCCUGUGACUCUCAAAGCCCCAAAAAGCAUGUUAGUUACAGUGCUCUUUUAGCUCUGCCAUCCACAGUCGCCUUAAGUGUAAACAGCUCAAUGGGCCCUUUGCCUUUUCGCAUGAGGCAGGUGCCCUCCAUCAGCAAGAGUAAAGGGCCUUUUGUAUCCGCACUCAUGGUUCCUGAGCUCUUGUCUGACGUCCAGAAAAAAUGAGGUCACACAAAAGAAUAGAAGGAUGGUAAAUGCGGGGCAUUUUAUUGCUGCUGAAAGUGGCUCUCAGCAGGAAGAACAGAAAAGGGGAUCAGCUGGGUAGGUAAUCUUCUUCUGAAGUCCAGCUGGGGGACUAUGUUAACUUCUCUUCCCGGGUCCACAAGGAGCGUGGUUUCAAAGGCAAAAACUUCCCAGCACCAUGCCUCUAGCCACCUCCCCAUCCGGGAACCUAGAGUUCUUUGUCUAACUUUCCCACCUGGGCUAGGUAAAAUUUCAGGUGUGCUCCUUUGUUUAUAAAGCCCGCAAAAAGCUCUGGGAGGAAGGGCGUCUGUUCUAGGCCGGACAACCAAUCCUGCAUCAAAGUCGAAGAUCAGUCACUCCAGAGGAAGUUUCAAAGAACUCCUCUCAUUGGACAAGAACAUGAAUGGGGCAGGAAAAACUUCAACGUUAAAACUCCACUGUACCUUACCUGUGUGGACUCCUACUCAGGAUCCGCUCCCAAGGCAACGUGGAUGCUGUCUCUCCCACUCUACCUGUGCAGAUUUCCCUCUCUGGGAUCCCCUCCCACAAUGGUGUGGAAACUCUCUCUACUUCUCUCUCUUUCUCUCUCUGCCUAAUAGAUCGCUCUCUGCAAAACCCUUUGGAUUCGAUAUUUACUUGACCAGUAAGCUUACUAUGCCACCAGGGCCUCUUUCUCAUUCCUAGGGCAGGGGAGCCCAAGAACCUCAGGGCACAUCCCAUUGAGGAGGGGGUUGAGUCCCAUCCUCCACUUGGUUACAUCUGUGACAAGCCAGCCAGGAGAGGACUUCAGAGUGGUGAGUGCAUCCGACCACUCUCACAUGCUAAAAUCUGUCCUAUUGCUUCUCUUAAAUCCGUUAAGGAGAGAGCACCAUGCACAGAGGCCACUGGGCCUGCAUGGGACCACAGGAGUCCCAGAGGUGUCUGCAGAAAGUGGGCCAUCCACCUUUAAAGGCAGUAUGCCCGGGUUUCUCCAAACCUUAUCCCUUUCUCUCUGCUGUCUGUCUGGGAGAAAUUGCCUGUGAAAGGGAGUGGGGGCAUUGCCAGGCCAGGCCCGGGCUCUGCAUGUUGCAGCGGGCGCCACCUGAGUGGAGUGGAGUGGGCACAUGUUCCCCUUAAGCCGCUGCUAACCCAGGAACGCCGGGCCUGCUUGCUUGCUGGCCACGUAGUCCUGGCCAUCAACUAAGCCUGCCUAGCAGGCUGCUGUGCACGCUGUGCGGCCCACCUUUAAAUAGUGUGGCUGUGGGAAUUUAAAAGGUACAGGGGCACUGUCUCAGAGUGGGCAAGCUAACCAGAGCCUGCCAGCAGGAGCAUGGUGGCCGGCUUCUGCAAGGUCUCGCAGAGCCAGGAGAGCCCUCCCAGCAUCCAGGCUCAGUCUGGGCUCCCGCCACUGCCAAGAACAGCAUUAUUUUCCUCGGGGGAUGCUUAAGGGAACCUGGCCAGCAGAGCCAGGUGCGUUGAGGGAGGUGCCCAACAUGCACAUGUGGUCCCAGCGGCCGCCAUGGGGGACAGUGGCACCACAGGGGAUGUGAUUUCUCAGGGCUGCAGGAGCUGCCUAUGUGAGAUGCGCCUAGCUUUUCAGACUCACAGCUGCGUGCUGCUCUUUUGUUUCAGACCCACAUAUCCAGGAUCCAGGUUUCCAUAAGGCAGCCUGCUAGUGCAGUGGCUAGGGCCUAGGUCUAGCAGCUGCAAUGUCACUACUUCAAAUCCCUGGAGGGUCUGGAUUAACUGGGGCUUGAAUGGGGAUCCAAGAGCUAAAGGCUAUAGGACACCCCACAAAUUUCCCAAUCCAACUGAAUGGUGUCAGAAUCUACUAAUGUACAAUUUGUCUUGCCUAGGAUUGGGCUCUCCAUAUGGCAGAACUUCUCCAUCUAGAAUACCAUAGUCAGACCUGGUCCAGGGCCCAAAUAGUUAAUUAUAGGCCCCACAACCCUAGGGCAUAUUCCCAUAAUGGAAAAUGGGAUGGGGAAGGAGGCCUGGGUCCUGAGGGCACCGUUUUAGCCUCUUCCAUGUGGUCAUCCAGCCUUCUUUAGGACCAUUGUGCUUAGAGGUCCCUCCCUAGAAGUAUCAUCCUAGGGCAGUUUUAUAAUCAGGCCUGUGUUAAUUAAACUCUUGCUAGGGAAUAUUGGUACCCAUCACCCAAGCCUCACUGGCCUAGUUCAGGGACAUAGUGGUACAAAUUACUAAUCCCAGCAGUCCACAUGUCCUUAUGGUGGUCAAUAGAGACAUGUAGACAGUGAGCAUGUGCCAUGGCACUGGUAAGCAUGAUUAAACGCAGCACAUGGGGCAGCCCCGGAAGAUAAUCACACAUUUUGGGCCAAGAAAAUCACAAGGUGCUAUAACUAGGGGAUGUCCCAGGGCUGGCACUAUAUAACUAGGGGACGCCCCAGGCCUAGCAGUUGCAAGGAAUAACCAGGGAUGCAGGCAUUCCUGUGUUCGAUUUCAGAUGGGUUCUACUCUCCCCAAGGCAAAGUCUCCAUUAAAAUGUAUCCUGGACAACUGGGACCAAUUUGACACAUGAGCUUUGAGGAAGCAGCAGCUCAUUUUUCUCUGCCAAAUAGCAUGGCCGCAAUGCCCUCUGCAGAGUGGAAAAACCUGGCCUCCUAAGGGAAGUAUAAAUUACAACAGCAUUGUACAAUUAGACCUGUUCUGUAAGAGUGAAGAGUGAAGGUAAAUGGAUUGAGGUCCACUAUGUGCAAGUUUUCUUUUGUCUAAGGAAUAAUCCUCAGCUAUGUAAGACCUGUACCCCAUACCCUACAGGCCCCUCCUCAGGACUACUCCCACAUUUAGGACUCCCUGUAGCUCCUUCUUCCACUGAAGGUAAACAAGUCUCCUCAGCUCCUGCCACCCAAGUGGAAUCAGGGAAGGCCAAAGUGGAUAGGCACCUCAAGCUACCAGGGUGCCCCAGCUCUACCCCCUGCAGGCAGUGGGAGGAGAAUUUGGUCCCACCAAGGUGCGCACUCCCUAUUCACUUUCUGACUUAAAGCAAAUCAAGGCAGACAGGAAAUUUUUCAGAUGACCCAGACAAGUACAUAGAUGUUCUGCAGGGCCUGGGUCAGUCCUUUGAAUUGGAUUGGAAAGAUAUCAUGUUAUUGCUUAGUCAGACCCUAACCAGCAAUGAGAGAGAGGCUGCUCUAGCAGUGGCCCAGGAGUUUGGGGACACCUGGUAUCUUGGUCAAGUACAUAAUCAAUGAUGCCAGAGAAUAAGGAUGGACUUCCUACAGGUAGAUAAGCAGUCCCUAGCACAGACCCUUGCUGGGAUCCUGACUCAGAACAGGGGGACUGGCGUCAGAGGUACCUAUUAACCUGAGUUCUUGAGGGAUUAAGGCGAACUAGGAAGAAGCCCAUGAAUUAUGCAAUGUUAUUCACCAUAACUCAGGGAAAGGGAAAAAACCCAACAGCCUUCCUUGAGCAGUUACAGGAGGCCUUAAGAAAGUAUACUCCCCUGUUGCCAGACUCCACUGAGGGUCAGACAUUAGGUGGAAGCUCCAGAAGCUGGCCCUGGGCUGGAACAGAACCUAGAAUCAUUACUAACCUUAGCGACCUCAGUGUUCUAUAAUAGAGACCAGGAGGAACAGGCUGAAAGGAACAGGAGAGACCAGAGAAAAGCCGCAGCUCUAGUCAUGGCCUUCAAGCAAGCAGACCCACGGGGCUCAGAGGAGAGAAAGUCUUGAGUUAGCCUCCAGUCUGGCUGAGCUUGCUACCACUGCAGUCUAGCAGGAUACCUUAUAAGAAAUUGCCCCCAGAGAAAUGGACCACCACCUUGUCCUUGCCUACUAUACCAACGGGAUCACUGAAAGGCACACUGUCCCAGGGGAUGAAGGUUCCCAGGACCUGAGGUUGCUAACCACAUGACCCAACAGUAGGACUGAGGGUUCCUGGGGCAAGUGCCAGCACAAAGCAUCACCCUCACCAAGCCCCAGGUGAGGAUACUGCAAGAAGUUGUCCGUUGGCAACUCGGAAGAACCCUCACCAGAACCCAGCCACCAUAUUGGCACCCUGAUCUCAGACUUCCAGCCUCCAGAACUGGUGGCUGGCUCUUGGCUGAUUACCCCCUGGAUCUGGAAAGGAAGGAAGGACAACAAAGAGGAAAGGAGAUUCUCUACAGAAUGUGGAUUUUUCUCACAAGAGACUUUACAGGGCGAAUUCAAGUGUACAAUUCAGUGGCUUUUAGUGUAAGGUCUUUUAGGCUGACUGACGGCACCAUGGCCCACAUGUACACCUCUGGAGGGCCUUCUGGAAUUAGAAAACCUGAAGUAACUGGAAAGCAGAAGAAUGAUCAACCACCGUGGCACCUACUUAACUUGAGAUGUUCUUCUAUUAUUCUUAUUCUGGCCUCAAUUGACAAAGCCAUUGGACUUUGUAACCAACCUUGGUCAAACUCAUGACUCCAGACCCUACGACCCCCUCCCAGCUUCAAAAAAACAGCCCUCAACUGUAACUUCUGUAACUCUCCACUACUUGCCCCAAACCUGUAAAACCAACUCCUAUCCCUCUAUCCUCUGCUGACUCUCUUUUCGACUCAGCCCACCCACACCCAUGUGAAUAAACAGCCAUGUUGCUCAUACAAAGCCUGUUUGUGGGGGGGGUCUCUUCAUUCAGAGUGCACAUUUUAACAUGUAGUAUAUUUGCAAAGUUACAUAGCCAUCACCGCUAACUAAUUUCAGAACAUUUCGUCACCUGCACCCACUACCCUGAAAAAGAAAAAACAUGCUUAUUAGCAAUCACUCCACUUUUCCUUUACUCCCAGCUCCUGGAAGCAACUCAUCUACUUUCUGUCUCUACAGAUUUGCAUAUUCUGAACAUUUCAUAUAAAUGAAAUUAUAUAUUUGUCCUUUUGUGUCUGUCUUUUUUCACUUAGCAAAAUGUUUUCAAGGCUUAUGUGAUUGUGGCAUUAAUCAGUGCAGUUGACCCUUGAACAAUAUAGGAGUUAGGGACACUGAACUUUGGCGCUGUCAAAAAUUCAAGUAUAAUUUUUGGCUCCCACAAACUUCACUACUAAUAGCUACUGUUGACCAGAUGCCUUACUGAUAACAUAAACAAUAGAAAACAUAUGUUAUAUGUUAAAUGUAUUACACAAUACGAUCAGUAAAAUAUAUUUGUCUUACAAUGAAGUAAGCCAGAAGAAAGAAAAUGUUAUUAAGAAAAUCACAAGGAAGAGAAAAUGUAUUUACUAUUCAUUAAGUAGAAAUGGGUCAUCAUAAAGCUCUUCAUCUUUACUGUCUUCACAUUGUCUGAAGAGAAGGGCUGAGAGAAGGGGUUAGUCUUGUUAUCUCAGGAUGGCAGUGAUAGAAGAAAAUUUGUGUAGAAGUGGACCCCCACAGUUAAAACAUGUGCUGUUUAGGGCAAAGUGUACCUCAUUCUUUUUAUGACUGAAUAAUAUUCUGCUGUAUAGACAUAUCACAUUGUAUUUAUCCACUUACUCAUUGAUGGACAUUUGGAUUGUUUCUGCUUUUUGGCUAUUAUGAAUAAUGUAAGAACAUUUGUGUACAUUUUCAGGAAGAUAUAUGAACUCAUUUCCCUUGGCUAUAUACUUAGGUAUGGAAUUGCUGGGUCAUAUGUUAACUCUAUGUUCCACUUUUUGAGAAACUGCCAGACUGUUUUUCAAACUGGUUGCACCAUUUUACAACACUAGCAAUGUAUGGAGAUUUCAAUUUCUCAACAUCUUCAUCAAUACCUGUAUUGUCUGUCUUUUUUAUUACAAUUAUCUUUUUUCUUAGAUAGGGUCUCAUUCCAUCACCCAGGCUGGUACAGUGGUGUGAUACAGCCUUGACCUCCUGGGCUUACACCAUCCUCCCACCUCAGCCUCCUGAGUAGCAGGGACCACACCACCAUGCCUGGCUAAUCUUUUUAUUUUUUUGUAGAGAUGAGGUCUAUGUUGCCCAGACUGGUCUUGUACUCUUGGGCUCAAGAAUACCUCCUAUCUCAGCCUCUCAAAGUGCUAGGAUUACAGGCAUGAGCCACCAUGCCCAGUCUGAUUCUAGCUAUCUUAACGUUAGGGUGUGAGGGGUGAUGUUGAUUUGAAUUUCUCUAACAACAAAUGAUGUAGAGCAUCUUUUCAUGUGUUCAUUGGCCCUUUGUACAUCUUCUUUGGAGAAAUGUUUAUUGAAAUAUUUUGCCAAUUUUUAAUUGGGUUAUUUGUCUUUUUAUUAUUGAGAAAUAUACUGUCUUAAAUGAGAAAAAAUGCUAUUUUGUUGUCUUGUGAGGAUCACAUGAGUGGAUUACUCUCUUGGUUAUUGCUAUAUAGAGCAAGAAGAUGCCCAUUGUCCUAGAAUUAGCUAUUAUAGAAUUUUGGGAUCUUAUCAAAACUGUUACAUCUUGUGAGAGAGCUAAUAGGAGAAGUUUAAUCAUGGGGAAUAUGGUAGAUUCAUUUCCCCAAUGAGUCCAGACGCUUCCAGGAUGUAGUCUCCAAAUGUGAUUCUUUAAGUUAGGGAGACCCAUUGGAGUGGAUUAAGAACAUAAGGAUUAGUAAGAAUUAGAACAACAACGAGGUUUCCAAAACAGUAUUGUCCUGAGGAAGGGAGGAGUCUAGCUUGCGAUUCGCGUUAAACCAUAUGUCUGAGGAUUCACGAGUAAAAGCUAAUCUAGUUAAGUGAGUAUAAUGGGCAGUGAGGGGAACAGCUUCAAUGUGAAUUGGUAGUACAUUGACCUUUAACCUAACGUAACUGUGUAAUUUCUCUCACCAAACUAUGACACCUAUAAAUAGGGAAGGAGUAGCAUUAACAAUUCACCAGACCAUAGGAAAACCUUGUCCUCUUGCAGUGAUGUCCCUGCUGGUCUGGGACACUUCUGGAGGCACUGGUCCCCACAGCACUUCAUGCUUGUGACAUCACUGCAAAAGGACAGGCUUCUGGUGAUCAAUGAAGGAACAGUCCUUAAUAAUGACAGUGCAUAAAGGUGAGGACCAAUAGCAGUUAUUAAAACUGGCAUUUAGAAAUUAGGAGAAACUGACUUCCUGCUCAAAGGGCAAAUGACUGUUUGUCCACUUAAUUGUUCUUGAGUGUGUGGAUCAGAUCAUGUUAGUUACAAACACACAGGUGCCAAAUUCAUAUAUAGAUAUAUGUAUGUGAAUGACAGAGGUUCAUUUCGGUGUGAUUACCUAGGCUGGUUUGAGCUUUGCUAGAGUGUAACUCCCAUGAAGUAUUAAGGUAGCACACCAGCUUUAGGUCAUCUUAUUUAAAGGUCACUUUAAUUGCCUCUUUUUCACUAAGUGGGGCCCCAAUUGCUUUCUGGUAGUCCCUUAAGUUCACCUUCCUUUUUGAAGUGGAUUUUGGACACCCAUUUGCUGCUGACAUUGAUAGACUUAUUGGACACAGUCUAGAUAUAUAUUCCAGGAAACUAGGCCUAAGUAUGUCUAAUACCCAAAGGUUUCAGAAAAUUCUAAGUAUGUCUAAUACCCAAAGAUUUCAUGAAGGCCUAAGUAUGCCUAACACCCAAAGAUUUCAUGAACCUCUAAGUUGGUGAAUUCAGGGAUCUCGCCCUCUGUUUAAUACACUUCAGGACAGUAAUGGUGUUCGGUUGAACAUUUUGAGUCUUCAAAAAAUAACAUCAGAAUGUUUCACAACAUUGUCCAAAUUCCUAUGUUUGGUGUUCUACUGAACCAAAUGAAACUGCAGCGUAUUUCUACUUAUGAAUAGAAGAACCUGCUCGUGGAGGUGGCCCCAGUGCCAACAAAACAAAAGCUGUCGGACUCAGUGAGUGAUUCUUCAAUGAGCACUGAUUGCCCUGCCAAUUGUCAAACUCUGCAUUGACCCAGUGACCAUUGUUGUGAUCCUCCAAGCAGAAGUUUGGGCAUAGAACAAAUACAGAAGUUUAGGGAAGCGUCAUGCUUGGCUAUUUUUAGUUUUGAGAUCAAUAGAGCGCCGGCACUCUUCAUUGGCAAUAUAGCAAGUGUCAGGCUCACACUUUGAACUGUCUGGCACAUCUCCGUGCAACGAGACCUGGAAUCACCAGGGUUAGGUUCAGAGGGUAGCACUUAGCCCAAACCAGCUACGCUCCAAUUCCUUCAGGAUGCACCCAAUUUUCCCCUUUUAAUUUUUUUUUUACUGGAGAGUGAUUGGGGGAGAUAGUAGUAAAAAUGAACCUUUGCUUACUUUUUCACACCUUACGAAUAUGUUAGAUAUGUUAGCAUGUACCCAUUAUUUUGCUAAUAAACCAACUUAUCAUCUCUAAGCAUUAUUUUUCACAACAUCUAAAUUGUAAAAUAACAUGGACCGUGAAAUAAAAUUCAAAAUGGACAACA